ACAUGGGUUUGGAUUUAUGGCAGGUCCGUCCCUGUGCACCUCUCAUAGUGGCCCAUGUCAGAGUAAACUGCAGCCCCGACCACUUCCUGGCCCCUUUUCCCAUAGACUUCAGACACUGACGCAGGUUACACAAUG
ensembl:snoRNA